CAUCUUCCCGUUGGGAGAAGGUGAGAAGCUUCGACAAGGUUCGCGCGAGACAACGUGCGCAGCACGGCCCGCAGGGCGAGGAGCGCAGCGACGAGUCAUCCUUCUCCCACCACCA
rnacentral:sRNA from 1 species